UACGAAGGGGGCUAGCGUUGCUCGGAAUUACUGGGCGUAAAGCGCACGUAGGCGGCUUUCUAAUUCGGGGGUGAAAUCCUGGAGCUCAACUCCAGAACUGCCUUCGAUACUGGAGAGCUCGAGUCCGGGAGAGGUGAGUGGAACUGCGAGUGUAGAGGUGAAAUUCGUAGAUAUUCGCAAGAACACCAGUGGCGAAGGCGGCUCACUGGCCCGAUACUGACGCUGAGGCACGAAAGCGUGGGGAGCAAACAGG
rnacentral:rRNA from 1 species